rnacentral:rRNA from 1 species
UACGUAGGGGGCAAGCGUUGUCCGGAUUUAUUGGGCGUAAAGCGCGUGUAGGCGGCCACGCAGGUCCGCUGUGAAACUCGAGGCUCAACCUCGAGCUGUCGGUGGAAACCGCGUGGCUAGAGUCCGGAAGAGGGGACUGGAAUUCCCGGUGUAGCGGUGGAAUGCGCAGAUAUCGGGAGGAACACCCGUGGCGAAGGCGGGUCCUG